rnacentral:rRNA from 1 species
UACGUAGGGAGCAAGCGUUGUCCGGAAUCAUUGGGCGUAAAGCGCGCGUAGGCGGCCCUGUAAGUCCGUUGUGAAAGUCAAAGGCUCAACCUUUGAAAGCCGAUGGAUACUGUAGGGCUAGAGUCCGGAAGAGGCGAGUGGAAUUCCUGGUGUAGCGGUGGAAUGCGCAGAUAUCAGGAGGAACACCAAUAGCGAAGGCAGCUCGCUGGGGACGGUACUGACGCUAAGGCGCGAAAGCGUGGGGAGCGAACAGG